AGUGAACGCUGGCGGUAGGCCUAACACAUGCAAGUCGAACGGCAGCACAGUAAGAGCUUGCUCUUACGGGUGGCGAGUGGCGGACGAGUGAGGAAUACAUCGGAAUCUACUUUUUCGUGGGGGAUAACGCAGGGAAACUUACGCUAAUACCGCAUACGACCUACGGGUGAAAGCAGGGGAUCUUCGGACCUUGCGCGAUUGAAUGAGCCGAUGUCGGAUUAGCUAGUUGGCGGGGUAAAGGCCCACCAAGGCGACGAUCCGUAGCUGGUCUGAGAGGAUGAUCAGCCACACUGGAACUGAGACACGGUCCAGACUCCUACGGGAGGCAGCAGUGGGGAAUAUUGGACAAUGGGCGCAAGCCUGAUCCAGCCAUACCGCGUGGGUGAAGAAGGCCUUCGGGUUGUAAAGCCCUUUUGUUGGGAAAGAAAAGCAGCAGGUUAAUACCCCGCUGUUCUGACGGUACCCAAAGAAUAAGCACCGGCUAACUUCGUG
rnacentral:rRNA from 1 species